CAGCGAAAGUGCCCCACCGGCGUGGAACACGAUCGCCUGCUGAGCUGGUCGAUCGAACCGCAUCUCUUCGACUCUCCUCCCCCUUCCACCCUCCCUCCCCAAGUCUGUGUCACGCACACCCUGGCAACUUCAAAAAUACACAUGCACACACGCAGCAAGGAUGACGGUGCUUCGAUGACGACCGAUUCAAGUAGGAGAGGCCGUUCGAUGUCUUUUGUGUCGUGACCUUUUCCUACUUCAUCGAACAGGGUGACUCAGGCGUGAUUAGCUGCGAGUAGCGCGGCAAGCUGGCGCCUGCGUUUCAUUUGCACGCGUACGCUGCCAAGUGCGGGUUAGUCGGUGGCGAGUUCCCGCCUCUUGUGGGCAGGCUGAACCACCGCGAGGUGGAAUGCAACACGUCGCGAGCGACAUGAUGGGAGCAGCCGUGAGGCGACCUGGGAGGCGGGUGGGUAGGUCGCGUUGGAGGCAGGGGCCGCGCUCCCAUGACUGAGUCGACGCAUUGCUGCAAGGCGUGUGCUUAUGGCGGCACUGCACUACGCGAUGGGUCGGUGACACGGUUCGGAGUGGGAGGCUAGGUCGGAGGAGUUGAGCUCAUGUUGCGCAUAGCAGAGAACGGGCACAGGUUGAAAACGUAGACCAGAAUUCGUAGGGUUUUUGCGUUUCGGCUCGCACGCUCUUCCCUGGUACUCUUCGCCCUCCCCCCCAACCCACAACCAUCACCACCUCCCCGGCAUUCGGGCAGCCACAGGUGUGUUUCACGCAUCACACAGGCACGCACAAACACACGAGAGAAAGGGGUCAUCAUAACAGCCUGGUGUACCAACGUCUUCGGCGUGACCACGCCCGUCUCUGACACGUGCUCCAUGGAGUGUUUUGCCUGCAACACCGCUUCUCGCCCUCGGCAACGCAAGACGUGGCUGGUAGACCAACGGCCCCUCAACCAAAUUUCUUUCUCCUCCACACCGUCCUCCUCUUCUCUGUGAUGGCAG
rnacentral:misc_RNA from 1 species